AGUAGGCUGAGCAAUUGCGCACGCGCAAGCGUGUGAGGAAAGUCCGAGCAUCACACAGCAGGGUAACGGCUAACAGCCGCCGAGGGCGACCUUAGGGAAAGUGCAUAGAGAGAUACCGCCGCUUUUUGCGGUAAGGGUGGAAAGGCGAGGUAAGAGCUCACCGGCGUGCAGGUAACUGUACGGCCAAGUAAACCCUACCCGAUGCAACAUCGACCGAAGUUGUCAGCUGGGCAGAUACUUCGACGGAUGGCUUCAGCGUAUCGGCAACGGUGCGCGCAGAUAGAUAAUUGCUUUAAACGACAGAACUCGGCUUACAGGCCUACUCA
rnacentral:RNase_P_RNA from 1 species